GUAGGGAAUCUUCCGCAAUGGACGCAAGUCUGACGGAGCAACGCCGCGUGAGUGAAGAAGGGUUUCGGCUCGUAAAACUCUGUUGUUAAGGAAGAAUGUCAUGUAUUUAACUGAUAUGUGAGUGACGGUACUUAACCAGAAAGCCACGGCUAACUACGUGCCAGCAGCCGCGGUAAUACGUAGGUGGCAAGCGUUAUCCGGAAUUAUUGGGCGUAAAGCGCGCGUAGGCGGUUUCUUAAGUCUGAUGUGAAAGCCCCCGGCUCAACCGGGGAGGGUCAUUGGAAACUGGGGAACUUGAGUGCAGAAGAGGAGAGUGGAAUUCCAUGUGUAGCGGUGAAAUGCGCAGAGAUAUGGAGGAACACCAGUGGCGAAGGCGGCUCUCUGGUCUGUAACUGACGCUGAUGUGCGAAAGCGUGGGGAUCAAACAGGAUUAGAAACCCUAGUAGUCC
rnacentral:rRNA from 1 species